UGGCAGCACAAGGACAUGCUUCAAAGGUAUCGGCAGAUAGUUUAGCUGUUGGUGCCAUAUUGUCAGCAACUUAUUCAGUUUGCACGCUGCAGUCCAAUCACUUGAUGUCAGCAACAUUGAUCUGCUUAC